rnacentral:rRNA from 1 species
GACGAACGCUGGCGGCGUGCCUAAUACAUGCAAGUAGAACGCUGAAGAGAGGAGCUUGCUCUUCUUGGAUGAGUUGCGAACGGGUGAGUAACGCGUAGGUAACCUGCCUGGUAGCGGGGGAUAACUAUUGGAAACGAUAGCUAAUACCGCAUAAAAUGGAUUAUCGCAUGAUAAUCAAUUGAAAGGUGCAAAUGCAUCACUACCAGAUGGACCUGCGUUGUAUUAGCUAGUUGGUGGGGUAACGGCUCACCAAGGCGACGAUACAUAGCCGACCUGAGAGGGUGAUCGGCCACACUGGGACUGAGACACGGCCCAGACUCCUACGGGAGGCAGCAGUAGGGAAUCUUCGGCAAUGGACGGAAGUCUGACCGAGCAACGCCGCGUGAGUGAAGAAGGUUUUCGGAUCGUAAAGCUCUGUUGUAAGAGAAGAACGAGUGUGAGAGUGGAAAGUUCACACUGUGACGUAUCUACCAGA